GCGGCAGCUACACAUGCAGUCGAGCGGUAGCACAGAGAGCUUGCUCUCGGGUGACGAGCGGCGGACGGGUGAGUAAUGUCUGGGAAACUGCCUGAUGGAGGGGGAUAACUACUGGAAACGGUAGCUAAUACCGCAUAACGUCGCAAGACCAAAGUGGGGGACCUUCGGGCCUCAUGCCAUCAGAUGUGCCCAGAUGGGAUUAGCUAGUAGGUGGGGUAACGGCUCACCUAGGCGACGAUCCCUAGCUGGUCUGAGAGGAUGACCAGCCACACUGGAACUGAGACACGGUCCAGACUCCUACGGGAGGCAGCAGUGGGGAAUAUUGCACAAUGGGCGCAAGCCUGAUGCAGCCAUGCCGCGUGUGUGAAGAAGGCCUUCGGGUUGUAAAGCACUUUCAGCGGGGAGGAAGGCGGUGAGGUUAAUAACCUUGUCGAUUGACGUUACCCGCAGAAGAAGCACCGGCUAACUCCGUGCCAGCAGCCGCGGUAAUACGGAGGGUGCAAGCGUUAAUCGGAAUUACUGGGCGUAAAGCGCACGCAGGCGGUCUGUCAAGUCGGAUGUGAAAUCCCCGGGCUCAACCUGGGAACUGCAUUCGAAACUGGCAGGCUAGAGUCUUGUAGAGGGGGGUAGAAUUCCAGGUGUAGCGGUGAAAUGCGUAGAGAUCUGGAGGAAUACCGGUGGCGAAGGCGGCCCCCUGGACAAAGACUGACGCUCAGGUGCGAAAGCGUGGGGAGCAAACAGGAUUAGAUACCCUGGUAGUCCACGCCGUAAACGAUGUCGAUUUGGAGGUUGUGCCCUUGAGGCGUGGCUUCCGGAGCUAACGCGUUAAAUCGACCGCCUGGGGAGUACGGCCGCAAGGUUAAAACUCAAAUGAAUUGACGGGGGCCCGCACAAGCGGUGGAGCAUGUGGUUUAAUUCGAUGCAACGCGAAGAACCUUACCUGGUCUUGACAUCCACAGAACUUUCCAGAGAUGGAUUGGUGCCUUCGGGAACUGUGAGACAGGUGCUGCAUGGCUGUCGUCAGCUCGUGUUGUGAAAUGUUGGGUUAAGUCCCGCAACGAGCGCAACCCUUAUCCUUUGUUGCCAGCGGUUAGGCCGGGAACUCAAAGGAGACUGCCAGUGAUAAACUGGAGGAAGGUGGGGAUGACGUCAAGUCAUCAUGGCCCUUACGACCAGGGCUACACACGUGCUACAAUGGCAUAUACAAAGAGAAGCGACCUCGCGAGAGCAAGCGGACCUCAUAAAGUAUGUCGUAGUCCGGAUUGGAGUCUGCAACUCGACUCCAUGAAGUCGGAAUCGCUAGUAAUCGUAGAUCAGAAUGCUACGGUGAAUACGUUCCCGGGCCUUGUACACACCGCCCGUCACACCAUGGGAGUGGGUUGCAAAAGAAGUAGGUAGCUUAACCUUCGGAGGCGCUA
rnacentral:rRNA from 1 species